rnacentral:tmRNA from 1 species
GGGGAUGCACCGGUUUCGACUGGGCGCGAAAGGUAAGGUAUAAGCAUAACGUAGGCGUCGGCUACGUAAAAACGACAAAUUUAAAUUUAUCUGCAGACAAUAAUCGUCUUGCUUUCGCCGCUUAAUUAAGGCGAAUGUCCGGUAUCGGUAUCCCGCUUAUCGGUAUAGGGCAUCAUUUCUAAACGGGGAACGGUUUGGUUGUUUUUAUUGCGGCAGUCAAACGGAAUCAAGUAAUAUGCGAUGCGAGAGCGCCCGCCUUUUGGCAGCUCGUAUUUAAGCUUAAAAGAAGGCUAAUUAUGUAGAAGGCUUUAUUGUUCGUAUCCAACACAAGGGUUCAACUCCCUUCAUCUCCACCA